rnacentral:piRNA from 1 species
UGGAGAAGCAGGAGAGCGGGUGGUGGUAUA